rnacentral:misc_RNA from 1 species
GAUGAAGAACGUAGCGAAAUGCGAAAAGUAGUGUGAAUUGCAGAAUUCAGUGAAUCAUCGAAUCUUUGAACGCACAUUGCGCCCGCCAGUAUUCUGGCGGGCAUGCCUGUUCGAGCGUCAUUACAACCCUCAAGCCCCCCGGCUUGGUGUUGGGGACCGGCCACCGGUGCCCUGCUGCUUCCGCGGCAGGCGCGCCCGGCCGCCCCCGAAAUGAAUUGGCGGCCCCGUCGCGGCCUCCCUCUGCGUAGUAGCACACAUCUCGCAGCUGGAGCGCGGCGCGGCCACUGCCGUAAAACGCACCAACUUUUUUUUACAGUUGACCUCGAAUCAGGUAGGAAUACCCGCUGAACUUAAGCAUAUCAAUAAGCGGAGGA